rnacentral:lncRNA from 1 species
AGUUUUUCUGUUUGCCGAGAGAGGCGAGGAGGUUAGAAUGUAUUUUUUUUUGUUUUAAGUUUUUGCACUAUUUAGAGUCCUAAGCCCCUCAUAUUCAGCCAUGCUGUGUAUCUAUUGCCCAAGCAGGAGAGCUCGCGGCACCUCUGACAUUUGGGAGUGUCAGAGGUCUCUUCCAUAGUGGAUAAUCACAACCUCAGAGCCCCUGUGCACCCCUUGUCAUGGGGCUCAUGACUUACAGAUUCAGCAUUGGCCAAGCAGUAAUUCAUGGGAC